UAAGGAAUAUUGGUCAAUGGAGGCAACUCUGAACCAGCCAUGCCGCGUGCAGGAAGAAGGCCCUAUGGGUCGUAAACUGCUUUUUGAACAAGAGAAAACCCCGGUACGUGUACUGGGUUGAUAGUAUUGUUAGAAUAAGCAUCGGCUAACUUCGUGCCAGCAGCCGCGGUAAGACGAAGGAUGCAAGCGUUAUCCGGAUUCAUUGGGUUUAAAGGGUGCGUAGGCGGACUGAUAAGUCAGUGGUGAAAUCUCUCGGCUUAACCGAGAAACUGCCAUUGAUACUGUUAGUCUAGAGUACAGAUGAUGUGGGCGGAAUAUGACAUGUAGUGGUGAAAUACUUAGAUAUGUCAUAGAACACCGAUUGCGAAGGCAGCUCACAAAACUGUAACUGACGCUGAGGCACGAAAGUGCGGGGAUCAAACAGGAUUAGAUACCCUGGUAGUCCCUGAGCGGGCUGGCAAGGCGCAU
rnacentral:rRNA from 1 species